rnacentral:rRNA from 1 species
GAUGAACGCUGGCGGCGUGCCUAAUACAUGCAAGUCGAGCGAACAGACGAGGAGCUUGCUCCUCUGACGUUAGCGGCGGACGGGUGAGUAACACGUGGAUAACCUACCUAUAAGACUGGGAUAACUUCGGGAAACCUGAGCUAAUACCGGAUAAUAUAUUGAACCGCAUGGUUCAAUAGUGAAAGACGGUUUUGCUGUCACUUAUAGAUGGAUCCGCGCCGCAUUAGCUAGUUGGUAAGGUAACGGCUUACCAAGGCGACGAUGCGUAGCCGACCUGAGAGGGUGAUCGGCCACACUGGAACUGAGACACGGUCCAGACUCCUACGGGAGGCAGCAGUAGGGAAUCUUCCGCAAUGGGCGAAAGCCUGACGGAGCAACGCCGCGUGAGUGAUGAAGGUCUUCGGAUCGUAAAACUCUGUUAUUAGGGAAGAACAAAUGUGUAAGUAACUAUGCACGUCUUGACGGUACCUAAUCAGAAAGCCACGGCUAACUACGUG